UACGUAGGGGGCGAGCGUUAUCCGGAUUUAUUGGGCGUAAAGCGUGUGUAGGCGGUUUAUUAAGUAUAAGAUCAAAGCCCGAGGCUUAACCUCGGUUAGUCUUAUAAACUGGUAGACUUGAGUGUGGUAGAGGCAAGUGGAAUUUCUAGUGUAGCGGUUAAAUGCGUAGAUAUUAGAAGGAACACCAGUGGCGAAGGCGACUUGCUGGGCCAUUACUGACGCUGAGACACGAAAGAGUGGGGAGCAAAUAGGAUUAGAUACCCUAGUAGUCCACGCCGUAAACGAUGAGUACUAAGUGUCGGGAAACCGGUGCUGAAGUUAACACAUUAAGUACUCCGCCUGAGUAGUACGGUCGCAAGGCUGAA
rnacentral:rRNA from 1 species